AAACUGUGAUAUGGACAGAUAUUUAUCAAAUCCUUGAACCUCUCCUAACAAGCCUAGAAAGUUUCGUCACCUUUCUGCAUGAACUUACUGAUUGCUCUUGCAAGAAC